AUACGUAGGGUGCAAGCGUUAAUCGGAAUUACUGGGCGUAAAGCGUGCGCAGGCGGUUUUGUAAGACAGAGGUGAAAUCCCCGGGCUCAACCUGGGAACUGCCUUUGUGACUGCAAGGCUAGAGUACGGCAGAGGGGGAUGGAAUUCCGCGUGUAGCAGUGAAAUGCGUAGAUAUGCGGAGGAACACCGAUGGCGAAGGCAAUCCCCUGGGCCUGUACUGACGCUCAUGCACGAAAGCGUGGGGAGCAAACAGGAUUAGAUACCCUGGUAGUCCACGCCCUAAACGAUGUCAACUGGUUGUUGGGUCUUCAUUGACUCAGUAACGAAGCUAACGCGUGAAGUUGACCGCUUGGGGAGUACGGCCGCAAGGUUAAAACUCAAAUGAAUUGACGGGG
rnacentral:rRNA from 1 species